AAGCAUCUAAUGUCUUAGAAAUAUUGUAUCAAUAUUUAAGUAUGAGUACUUUGAUUUAUUCUAAUAAUAAGAUGAACCUUAUGUUCUUCACAUUGUAACACUAAUGAUUUAGCAAAAAUAUUUCUUUUGCAAAAGUAUUUCCUCAUAAUUUUUUGUACUAUAACUUGAUAAUCUAGUGUGAUCUUACAUCACUAGACCAACAUCUUGUUGGUAGAUUUUCGAUACACAUAUGAACCCAUCACAUAGAUACCUUCCAUUUUGAUGCACACAUCUUAUUAAUUAUAUUUGAUACUCUCGAAGUAGCAAAUACUUAAUGAGGAUGUGCCAUGGCGGGUACGUUGUGCUAUUCUGUGAUGAGCACUGGAUCAUAUAAUGCUCGCAUUCAUUAAUUCAUUCACCCCUCUUUCUUAAUCUUUUGUUCCUUCAUAUUCGCCAAUUUAACAUAUACUGACAAUAUAUUAAUCUUCACGUGAGAGCUGCUUCAUCAAUUUUCACAUAUUUUUAUUCUCAUUUUUCAGAUCCUUAUGCCCCCUAAUUUCUUCACAUUUCCCUAUCAUAUUUAUUGACAAAUGCAUGAUCCAAGAAGGUCAAUCUAUCUUAUUAGUCAUUCUGAAACAAACUACUAAUUCAUUACUUCCAAAAAAUCUGAUGCUUAAAGUUGUGAAUAUAAUUUAAGAAUAAAAUUAAUUUGUGUAUAAUUUUUCUAAAAUACUGUUGUUAAAUUUUAACAAUUAAUUUCUUCAUCAUAAUUCUGAUCUGAAAGUUUUGUUAAUUGAAGAAUAAUUCUUAAGAGAAGGUAAUAUAUAUGCAUAGUAGUUCGAUCUCAAAUUCACAUAUUAAAAAAAUUACAAAGAGACAUUGAAAAAGUGAAGAAAAAUUUGAAAGAUAAAUUAAAAAUGAUUAUUAAAGUGGGUGAAAAAAAUGUGGUUUACUAAAUAAUGAUAGACUUGAAAAAUAGACUUAACUUUGUCUCGAUUUUAUAAAAUAUGAUGAAGAGAUAUACAAUACAAAAAAAAAGAACAAUAGGUGAGUAGAUAUAUGUUAGUAUAUUACAGAACAUCAUCUCAUGUUGAAGUUGAUUUCAACAUACACAGAUACUGAGAUUGAUUUUAAAGUACAAAUUGUUUUGUAAGGUCACGACUAAUUGAUUUUAAAGCAUAAAAGGGUUCAAGUUUUAUGUAUAGAAAAAAUACUCGCUAAAAAAGUUAGCUCAAAUACUUAUGAAUGUUCUCGACUGUAUUAGACUAAUUCAUGAUGUAAAACCUUUUUUACUUAGACACUUAAUUAGUCCACUGAAUUACUUCCGGAGGACCUUCACAAAAACUAACCAUCCACCACUACAGCACUUUACCCUUUAUGUGUUACUGAAACAGUGUCGGUGAUUAACCACGUUCUGCAUUUUUUGCACGUUUGCUCUAACCGAUACCCCAUCUCCUUCUAAUUUCCGUAAUGCCAUUCUUUACUCACCCAACUUUACACCAUUUUCGGGGAAAACUCUAGUGCUGCGUUUUGUUCAAGCUUAAUAAAAAAUAAUUAUACUUUGUAAUUGAAACUUGAAAGUCAUUUAUUUAAUGAAGGGAACGAAUUUUUUUAUUUAUAUUUUCCAAUACAACAUUUACAUUAGUGUUAACAUUUUUUAUUUACCAAACCAAUUUGAACUUGGGAAUAACAUCUUUUUACAUUAGUCAUAAAAAUGUAUCUAUUGUUGAUUUUUAAGAAAUCCAUAUUUCAGUAUUUUGACUAUUUUCCUUAACUAAUAUUGUCUUCCUAUAAUUGGGUGAUUAUAUUACCUAUAUAAGAACGAAAAUACUUAUCAUUAUCCUAUUUUUUAUAGCAAAAGUUGUAUAAGCAAGGGAGUUUACUUCAAAUCUGGCUUAUGCUAUAUAUUAAUAUAUCAUUCAUCAAAUCUUAUGGUAUAUAAAUAUUACGUUGUACAUGUCUAUAUAUAAGACUUAUUGUUUGUGUGUACUAGGUGUCCCUUAGUCUAUAGUUAUUAGCUUGUGUCGGAUUUGAUGAAUGAAUGAAUAGUUCCCACCAAAUCUGUGUUAUUGAAAAUGAGUGGGUGAAUGAAUGAAUGGUCCUUUGCUUCCUCAAUACCCAUCUCUUUCUUCCUUUUUCCCUUCACCUUUUUCAUUGAUUGCAUUUACUAAACUAACCUACUAAGCAAAGGUAGCAAUACAAAACAUCCUUCUACUGUUACUGUUUUUCUGUGUUGUGGGCCAUCAAUCUCAUCUUGUUUGCUUCCAUGCCACCCUUCCCUUCUUACAAGUUUCCGUUUUUUCUCUUUUUCUCCUUUUCAGUGCUGACCGUUACCAAUACCCACAUUCCAAAAUUUGAUUUUUUCCUGUGUGUGCGAGUUUUAAAUGUCAUCUUCAUCAAAUCAAGAAGAAGAAGUUGAAGCCAUGAUACCACCACAGUUUGAAGCUUUUAGGAGAGUGAAGCGUUUAAGGUUGUUUGAACCAUCUCUGAAUGUCCUUGUUUUUGUUGUUGUAAGCGCUUUUGUUGUUUGUUGCUUCUUCUAUUUGGAUAAUAGAGACUUUGGUACAAGACUUGGGCUCAUUAACCAACCUAGUGAAAAGAGGUUGAGUUGGUUAAAGGUGAAAGGGUUUUCUAAUAAUGAGGAGGAGCAUAGAGUUGAGUUUAUUGGAGAAAAGGGUGAUGGGUGUGAUUUGUUUGAUGGGAAGUGGGUUUGGGAUGAGAGUUACCCUUUGUAUAAUUCUAAAGAUUGCAGCUUUUUGGAUGAAGGAUUUCGGUGUUCUGAGAAUGGAAGACGUGAUUUGUUUUACACCAAGUGGAGAUGGCAACCCAAACAUUGCAACUUACCAAGGUACACUUUUUAUGUUUCUGAUUCUUCCCCAUUUUGAAGUUUAUUAUAGUAAUAUUUUUCAUUGCUUUCAGCUGAGGAAAUAAGUUAAAAAGAUGGUAAAUUGAAUUGCUGGUCUAAUAAUUUCAAUUGAUUUUUUAAGUUACAAAAUCAUGUGGUAUCAUGCUGCCAGCGAACAAUGUUUAUGCUUAUAGUAUUUUGAAAAUUGGAAUCAACGAAGGCCACAAAAAAACCAUAAUGGGUCGACUUUGAUGUUGUCUUAACUAUUAUUUUUCAAUUGAACUAAAAUCUUUUGAUGGCAUUCAUAACAGAAAGCCUUUUCAUUACUAUAUUUAUAAGAAUGGUGACUUUAUGUUUGCUUUCCCUCUUUUGGAAAUUCCUUUUUUAAGAUGCUUCCUGUUUGUAUUUGUGAACAACAACAGCAACAAUAAAGCCUUUAACUUAUUAGGUGUCGUUGACUACAUGGAUCGAACAACGCCAUAAUACUUUUAUGAAUACAACACUAAUGCUCUAUCAUAAUGCUUCCUGUUUGUAUUUGUGAACUAGCAACAAAAACGUGUAACAUUGGUAAAUUUCAAUAAUUUUAUUUGCACUCAGAUGCUUGCCUUUCAUUGUUUUGAAAGCUAAAAAUCUAUGAAUGCAGAUUCAAUGCUACGGUGAUGUUGGAAAAACUGCGAAACAAACGCGUAGUGUUCGCUGGGGACUCGAUUGGGAGAAACCAAUGGGAAUCACUCUUAUGCAUGCUCUCUUCUGGAAUUCCCAAUAAGGAUUCAAUCUAUGAAGUGAAUGGCAGCCCGAUUACAAAGCACAAAGGGUUCUUAGUGUUCAAAUUCAGAGAUUUUAACUGCACUGUGGAAUAUUAUAGAUCUCCGUUUCUGGUAUUGCAGAGCCGACCUCCUACUGGAGCUCCCGGAAAGAUUAGGACAACUCUGAAAGUGGAUAAAAUGGAUUGGUACUCUUCGAAAUGGAGAGACGCAGAUGUCCUGGUUCUUAACACGGGGCACUGGUGGAAUUAUGAGAAAACCAUAAGAGGGUAAGUCAAUACUUACAAUAUUUUUAUUGAUUAUACAUGUCCUGCAAAUAGCUUGGCUUUAAAAUAUUGAAGUUAACACACAUUCAUAGAAAGUUGUUCAAAGUAGAUGAUAUUUAAAAUUGAGUUUGUUACAUUUGCCGGAAAAAAGAGGAUAGUUGGAUUGUUACCAUCCCAUCAGGAUCCUGAAUACUUAUAGCUUCUUCUGUUCUGAUGUAUAGUUUGUCAAUGGCAAAUAGACUGCUUCAGAAAGGUAACAAAGCAAAUUGGAAGUACGAUGAUGAUUAAUUGAUUAAGGAAAAAUGGCAGUUUAAAAAGAAUGGACAUAAGAGAAUCCUUUCCUAUUUUUUCUUCCUCUUGUCUCCCAUUUGUUUUCCAUCUUUCCAUUAUUGGAGCUUUUAUACUUACUCUAUUAUAUUCUAUUUACGCUGUUGUUUUUCAAAAGUUCAGCUUACUCCUUUACCCCCGUUGCUUUGAGUUUGAAGUUUUGUUGAUUAGAUUAUGAUGUCCCGAGUCAACACUUCUGUUUUUCUGUUAAAAUCAAUGUAAGAUAUGAACUCUAGACUAUAUCAGAUUGGAAUUAGAGAAAACUGCAGCACUAAGGCAGUUUUAUUAGAUUAACUGAGCCCCUUAUUAGUUCCUUAAUUUCAAUUACGUCUGUAAGAUUUAUAUAUAUAUUCUGGAGAAAAGAUUAACUUUUUUUAAUUUUUCAGCCGUUGUUAUUUCCAAGAUGGUAUGGAUGUCAAGAUGGAAAUGCCAAUAAUAGAUGCAUAUAAGAGGUCUAUAGAGACAGUGUUGAACUGGAUACAAGAUGCAGUAAAUCCUAGCAAGACGCAGGUUUUCUUCCGCACAUUAGCCCCAGUGCAUUUCAGGUUUGUUUGACAAUUCAAAUGAUGAUGGUUGAUGUUAUUUAAAAACUCAUCUCAUCUCUUCAGAAAAUUCACUGUCCAUAAUUACAUGAUUCCACAAGCUUCUUGUUCAAUACUGCAUGACCAUGAUGUACAAAUUAAUGAUUUGACAUGAGUAUGAGGUCUCACCAAAAUAAUGUUCAAUAUCUAUUGGAGCUGCUUUGUAAAAUCAGCAAUUCAACUUGUCUGUUUUUGCUUAAGAUGUUUCAUUGAGAUUUCAUAAUAAACAUCUUAACUAUAGUUAUAUAUAUAUAUAUAUGAGAUAACUCAUAACGCUGACUAAUAUUUGGGUUGGCUAUCUUUGGAAACUAAAUUGUUCUGAUUUGUUCCAGAGGUGGCGAUUGGAGAAAUGGUGGAAACUGUCAUUUGGAAACACUGCCAGAGCCGGGAUCCUCAUUGGUGCCUAAUGAUAACUGGUCACAAUUCAAAAUAGCGAAUUCUGUGUUAUCAUCAGCACACACAAAUGUUUCUGAAAUUAUGAAGAAGUUCAAGGUAUUGAAUGUAACAUUGAUGACUGCACAGAGAAAAGAUGGGCAUUCAUCUAUCUAUUAUCUUGGUCCUAUAGUCGGUCCUGCAUCUCCCCGCCGACAAGAUUGCAGCCAUUGGUGUCUGCCUGGUGUACCUGAUACAUGGAAUGAGCUGCUUUAUGCACUAUUUCUAAAACAUGAAGCUACUCACAUAUGGAACUCCUAACAGUCACAACUACUAUUCGGCGCGAAGUCCUUUUAACUGUGCUGCAUGGGUUUAUGGAGCUUGUAUGAGGAAGAAUGUUGCAUUUAUAACUUAUAAUUUCUAGAAGUAUUGUGGAGACAUGAGAUAUUCUAUAGCAGAAUCUGGAGGGAGGGAUUUAUGCAUGUCACCAGUGAGAAUUAUUUUGAAGGCAGGACAUCAAUUUUGGAUUACUAUGCUGCUGGAACUAAGAAACCAAUGGUUUCUCAGAUUUGGUUAUCUUGUGAUUAGAUUAGGAAGAAACAAUGUGUUAUUAAAUUAUCACUUUUGUUGUGGUAGCUCUCAUUCAUGAAAACAGCUUUAAUACCAAAUUAAAGGAAAAUGUUUAUUACUGCAAGAUGUGUCCCUAUAAUAGUACUUUGAAAAAACUUUUACUAAAUUUUUCCACCUCAUAUUUUUCCCUAUUUAGUUGAUGUGAAUAACCUUACACAUGAAAAGAAUUGGGUAACAAACAAAAAUGUAUUUGCUGAUAGUAUAAAAGUUUUAUAUACCAUUAAUUUAUUAUUCACUAUUCAUUUUUAAUUAUCGUUAAAUCAUAUAGUUUGUUUGAUUACCCCACAUAUAUUUAUUAUUAAAUACGUCCUUGUUGCCAUAGAAACGAAUUAUAAAUUUUACUUGACGUUAUUAACAUAGCUAUGUGGACCAUACGUCAUACCUGGCAAACGAAAUUAUCUUGUUGGCAGGAAAUGAUUUUUAAUUUUUAAUUUCAUCCUUCACAAUUUUAAUUUAGUUUCUUUAUGUAACCUAUAGUUUAGGUCAUUGAAAGACAUUUCUAUUCAGGACUUGAUCAACUUCACCAGUAAGGGUGGAAAUAGGCCAGAUCAGGCCAGACUUUGCCUUAAACAGGCCCAGCCUAUAUAGUAUGUAGGAGUCUGGACCUGAUCGGUUAGCCUGUUUAAAAAAAAUUCCAAAGCCUAGGCCUGACCUGUUUAAAAGUCUGGUCUGACCUGUUAGUCUGUUUAAAAGCUUGUUUUACUCUAUCAUCUUGAAAUAGGUCAUCAUAUCUACAUUUAGAUAGGUUAAUAUUCCUACUUUUAAUUAGACUCUUCUAACCCUAACAAUUAAAUUAUAUUUUUUAUAUUAAUAUUACAUAUGUAUAAUAAUAUUACUUAUAUUAAAAUUGUAUAAUAUGAACAUAUUACAUAAUAUAAUUAAAUAGGCCGGCCUGUUAGGCUUAAUGGGCCUUUUGGAUGGCCUACAGCCUGGCCUAUUUAACUACUUUUCAAAAAGCAUGUGCCUGACCUGUUUACGAAGAAAGUCUGGCCUGGCCUGCCCUGUUAUAGGCCAGGUAAUAGGCUCCUGGUAGGCGGCCUGGCCUGUUUCCACCCUUAUUCACUAGUAGUAAUAAGUUCUGGAGUAACACUUUUGAGAUAUAUCAGCCCAAUAUUGAUUUUUUACUUUUAUUAAAUUAAAAAAUUAGUAACAAAAAAUAGAUAUGUGGCGCAUGUGAUGAAAACGGUUCUAUAAUACAACUGUAUAAUAAAAAAAUAUAUAAGAAGAUAUUGUGGUAUUUAUGAAAAAAAUGAAGAAAUAAGAGGCAGUUCUUGAUCUUAUCUUUUUAUUUGUCUCUCUGUUUGGAAUUUGAAGAAGAUGCAGCAAGGUGGAUAUGGAGGAGGUAUGGUUCCACAGCAACAGCAACAGCAUCAGCAACAGCAAGGGUACACGAUGAUGCCACCUCAGCAACCUACCAACGCCGAUGAGAUCCGUACCCUCUGGAUCGGCGAUCUCCAAUAUUGGAUGGAUGAGAAUUAUCUCUAUACCUGUUUCGCUCACACCGGCGAGGUACCUUCUUUCUUUCUUCUUUAUUAAUUGGUUCAACUGCUAUAUUCUUUAUUCCCUUAGGCAAGAUCUCGGUUCGAGUUUUGCGAAUGGAAAAAAUAUCUGCUGGGACCUAAAUGUUCCCGACUCGGUCAGGAUUGACUCCAGUGCGAUGAUACUUGUGGGAAACCAAAAGAAAAAUCUCACAUUUUAUUUAUUCAUUGGUUGUAGGUUGCUUCAGUGAAAGUCAUUAGAAAUAAGCAAACUAGUCAAUCAGAAGGUUAUGGAUUUAUUGAGUUUACAAGUCGUGCUGGUGCUGAGAGAGUUCUUCAAUCAUAUAAUGGCACCAUUAUGCCAAAUGGAGGCCAGAACUUCAGGAUGAAUUGGGCAAGUUUUAGUGCCGGCGAGAGGCGUCAUGAUGAUUCUCCUGAUUACUCCAUUUUUGUUGGAGACUUGGCUGCAGAUGUUACUGAUUACCAUCUUCAGGAGACGUUUAGGGCGCGUUAUUCCUCAGUUAAAGGAGCCAAAGUUGUAAUUGAUAGGCUCACCGGACGGACUAAGGGUUACGGUUUCGUUAAGUUUGGAGAUGAGAGUGAACAAAUUAGGGCUAUGACUGAAAUGCAAGGGGUUCUUUGCUCUACAAGGGCAAUGCGGGUUGGACCAGCAUCUAAUAAGAACCCUACCACUCAACCUAAAGGUUCCUCUCUUUCAUGAUGCCCAUGUUGAUGUAAAUGUUUGCUUCAUAUGCUGGAAUAAGUUUGAGUUGAUUUCCUUUAAAUGAUAACUUAGCCUGUUAAUGAUACUGCUUAGAUUUCCUUAAUGUCUAGUUAUCUUUUGUGUGUGUGCAUCCUUACUUCUGUUGUUUAAUUUAUGUUUCUUUUCAGUUAAAAUCUUGGAGGUAUGCAGUCCAAAAUCAUUUCUUUUAAAAAGUUGGGAUAAAUAAAUGAUAUAGAAUAAGUAAAUCUUAUUGAACUCCUGUUGUCUCAAAGCAGGGGGUCAAGAGGCUCUGUCAUCUCGGAGCCUGUUACCGAUUUCAGCUCAAAUGGUUACCCUUUUAGUGUGUGGCCUUGCAUAGGUUAGUUAUCCAUUUAUGUCUUGCCCAUAAUUUUUUGUGGCGUUUUCUUUUCUGCCUACAUUCCACAACUAUUCUUGUUACUUAUAUUUUCUUUUCAUUUCAUUUAGCCAAAUUACAUAGCUCAGUUCUUCUAAUUCUAAUUACUUAUAUUUUCAGCCACUAUUUCUUAGUCUUUAGUCCUUUAGUUUUACUCUUUUUAGCACAAUGCUUUGCAAUUAAAGUUAUUACUUUCUUUAUAUUGCUCAGUUCUUCAGGCCUUCUAAUCUGUCAAAAUAAUAAGUGCGCUCUCUUCCCAUCCCCUUGAAAUAAAAAGAAAAAAAGCGUCUAUGAGAAAAAAGUAACUUGUGAAGUUUUCUAUCGCUGGCGCAAUCACUUGAUUGUGUUCUACUCUAAUCUUAUUUUCAAUCUCUGAGGCAAACCGUGAGUAUUCAUAUCUUUUCGCAAGUAUUGAAAAGCAUUUUAGAUGUAGGGUAGGAAGAGUAUCAACACAGUUUCUACAUGUUUCAAUGCAUAUUAAAUAUGUGUAUUAAACUUUCUCCUUUGCAACUUUUGUUCUUUUGCGCUUUCGUUAGUUACUUACAGAGAGAGACAGAUUCGUCCAAGUAAUCCAACUAUGCCAAAUACCCUGCCCUUGGUAUUGUAUGACAACUAUCUAUGUUGAAUUUUGUCUAAGUUAGUUGAACAUGCCAUUUAUCUAUUCAUGCACUUGUUAAGUUAGUUGAAUGUUUGGUUUAUUUUUUACUUGUGAUUUCAUAUAUAUUAUUUUAGUGUUUUAACUUCUCAUAUUCCAUGGUUUUCUGUGCUCAUAAGGCACCUAUAAUUUUGUGCUUCCGUGGUUGCUCUAUAUGUGUGCAUAUACAUUUUGGAAAUGAAUCAUCUGAUGCUGAAAUUCGGAUGUUAAAAAGUUCCUAAUGGCUGUCGGGGCUAGAUGUAUAAACAUAUUAUUCUUAGAUUUUGUGCCUUUUAUUUUUAAAAAGUUAGUUGGUACAAUUUUUGCUCUGAUUGGUGUGUUUUCCAUGAACUGCUUCCUUCCCUGUAUUAAUGUCAUUUAUCUUCUAUUUCACAUGCAAUUUGCACAUGCAGCUCCAUAUCAGAAUCCUCAGGGGGCACAGAACGACAAUGAUCCAAAUAACACAACUGUGCGUACUUCUUUGCAUCAUAGAAGAAACUACUGUCUGUCUAGCAAGUUUGUGACUCAAUUUUUUUGUUGCAGAUUUUUGUCGGCAAUCUGGAUCCUAAUGUCACGGACGAUCAUCUGAGACAAGUUUUCGGGCAGUAUGGAGAGUUAGUUCAUGUGAAGAUUCCUUCAGGCAAGAGAUGUGGGUUUGUCCAAUUUGCAGACAGGUAAUUUAACUAUUUUGGUAUUUUUACAUUUAUUGUGUUAUUACUUCCCAGUCUAUGCAAUACUCUGAUUUUGCCAUGCUUUUUCAUGUAUCAGGAGCUAUGCAGAAGGGGCACUGCAGGGUUUAAAUGGAACCCUUUUAGGUGGACAAAAUGUUCGGCUUUCAUGGGGCCGAAGUCCUUCAAACAAACAGGUAAACAAAUUUAGUGAUUGUUAUAAUUAUGAGCUAUAUUAGCACCAAGUUUUACUUAUUUUGUUUGAUGAAUUUUCAGACUCAAACAGAUCCAAACCAGUGGAAUGGUGGUGGAGGGUAUUAUGGAUAUGGUCAGGGUUAUGAAAAUUAUGGUUAUGCUCCUCCUCCUCCUGUUGGACAGGACCCCAACAUGUAUGGAAGUUAUCCAGCGGGAUAUGGAAAUUACCAACCUCCCCAGCAACAGCACCAAACGGGAUAUAGUUAACAACUCCUUCCCCCUCCCCACUUACCCUUUUCCUUCUGUAAUCCUAUGAUACUUAUUUUCAGUUGUCACUAUUUUCGUGUCUUAUGACUCUUGGAAAACCAACUUUGCUCCUGCUUUUUCAUUUAGUUUCAUGUGAUUGAUAAUAACAUGAAAAAUUGGUGUGAUUAAUUUGUUCAUUCAAUACUCUUAGUUUUGUUGAUAAAAAUGUCAUUACAAGGGUAAGUAGAAUGAUAUAAUUGUCAUUACAUUUUAUUUGUUGCUUUGUUUUUAUGGGGAAUCAAUUUUCUUAAAAUACAACUUUUAUUACUUUCUCUUAAGAAAGUGAUGGGAGAGUAUUCAUUAAAAAGAUAUGGAAAGUGAUGAGAGAGUAUUAAUGAUGGGGUUAAAAAAUAAGGAUAAUUAAUAGUAGAAUAGUAUAAACUUGUAUUCAUUUUUUAAAACAUCAAAAAAAUUGGAAAACAUUAAAAAUAAGCAACUAAGGACAUACAGCAUUUAUAUUUUGCACAUUAUUGUUCUUUUCAUAGCGAUGCUUAAUUAUUUUUGACCGAUUACGCCAUAAAGUUCAUGUGGGAAUAACUACUCCAAAUAUCAUAUAAGCUUUCUUUUUAACACUACUUCAUAAUUAUAUAAUAGAUAGAUAGUAAAUAAUACAUACAAAACUCAGGAGCAGAUGUAUUGCUACUUGUGGCAUUGUACCGAAAUAAUAAAUAUGACACUAGUUGUGGCAUAAUCUUCAAAAUUUUGUGGCAGCCGAUUCACUUUUGGUCCAUUAAAUCAUUAAGUUUCAUGUUUUCUAUAGAAGUGUCAGGUUGGGACAGUAAAUUCUAUUUGAAUUUCUUAAUAGUUAUUACUAGAAUACUCCUUAAUGUUCCCAUAAAAAUAUAUAUGGUGUAAUAUUUUUGAAUGAAUAGACUCAUACAAUUGUCAAUGGGAGAUUUAAACCGUUAUUGCAUGUCCAACUGCCACGGUUGUAGCGUCCAAAUUGUCAUUGAAGAAAUAGAGUUCUGUACCGAAAAAGAUUAGAGUCUUAAGAUAAUGUUUAUCAUAAAGAUUAUCCAAGUGAGAAAAAAAUAUAUAUCUAAGGUCACACGUGGUGGUAAGUAAUUAACUAAAACAUAGUAAUGACAAGACAAAUAAAGGCAAGUCCAAUCAUAUUUGGUCGCAAAUAUACAAUUUCCAAUUUAUAGAGCAAUUCAAGGUUUGGUCUUAUAAGAUAUUUGAUGACUACAAUCAUUUUUGGUCAAUAAAAACCCUUCUUCAACAGACACCAUAUCUAACUGGGAAUGCCGCCACGAGUAAUAAUAAUAUUAGCAAUAAUCCAUUUGUGUUCACCAAGUCAAAUUUUCCAUUAUCCUUUUCUCAUGCAUCGUCACCCUUAUACAGUACCAAAACUUUCCACCUCAGUUAAAUCCUCUCAUUCCAUCACAAUCAUUACUUACGUAAGCAGAUAUAUUAAUUAUAUAGUUUCUAAGAGUUACAUAUAUAACUAUAAGGUAGCUAGCUUCUGAUAUAUCAUAUUCAUUCUUCUGUAAAAACACAUAUUAAUAUAUAAAUGGGAAAUUGUUGCAUUAUGAACAUAGGUGAAUGUCAUAACAUAUAUAUGUACAAAAUAGAAUUGUCCAAAUAUUAUGUCAUCAUCUCCUACUCUCAAGGAUAUAUAUAGAUUCAUUCAUGAUGCUGGCUUGCAACAGUUUCCAAUUUAUAUAUAUAUAUAAUAUAUCAAAAGCUACCUUAUGUAGUUCUUUGACUAAGUUUCGGGAGGUGGAGCUUGAAGGUUUUAGUACUUAUAUGGGUAUGUAAGGGAAUGAAUAAUGGAAAACUUGUCUAGGUUAACAAAGAGAUUAUUAUAUUAGUUAUAACUAUUAAUACUAAAAAAUAUCAUAAUCACCUCACUAGUGUUGUGUAUAUCAUGGCUGUGAGAUCUUCUGUUUCCUUUUUUUUUCUCCUAGCAAAACUUAACUAACAAAAUUAUGGCCACAAAGAAAGGUGUUUAUUGACCAAAUAUGAUUGUAGCGACCAAGUAGAUCUGUCCUUGAUAAUAUGGAUAUUAAUCACGUCACGUUUAUCAUAUGUAUGAUCUUGCACCAUCCACUACUAUAUUUCACUCCGCCUUGUUCUUUCCAGAUUCUUUUUUGCAUGUUUCAGAUUGUGUGCCUCAGGUUCCAGAGGCCUACAUACAUGCUCCUUAUCUUUCUGCUGAGAUCGAAAUUGAGUUUGUGUUAUUUUAUGAAAUCGCAUCUUUCAUUACUCCAUAUAUGAAGUGGAAGAUGCUAGCUAUCUUGUGGUCGAGUAUAUCAUGUAUGAAGAGUAUUGCAUAUUUUUAUUGCUUCAUUGAUAUCUUGUCAAAUGGAAUAUGCGUCUUCCUUUUGGUGCUAGCUAUAUGGAUCAUUGAUGAUGAUUCUUGUAUUCAGCUUUAUGUUAUGCGAUUUGAAUUAUAUUACUACCCCUCUUAAUUCUCCUUACUCCAACAGAAUGGUGUAGAUUAGGUAUAUUAUUAUUUUAGAAAACUAAUUUUGUAAUUUCUAACAAUUUGCACAUAUUUUUUAAUUACUGCAUUGAGUUCAUGCAAGGCUUAUAUUCGUGCUCACACUCAACAACAAUGAUAAUAAUAUCACAACAUAAUUGUAAUUACAUGAAUAUAAUGUACAAGUUGAAAUGUACAAAUGAAAAACCCACCUCAAUCUCUACAUGCACCGAGGUUUGAUCGAAUCAAUUAACUUCAUUAAUAGUGUGUAGAACAGGCCUCCAGGGUCUACGAUGAGAAUCAUGAUACUGGUUUUCUUGUUCUCUUGCUUUUAUUAAGCGAUCAAGAACUUGUUCUGCAGAAGAAGAUGUACUUCGCCCUACUUGCUUCUUCUUCUUCAUCAUCAUCUCAUUUUGCUUCUCUAUCCCUCCCAACAAUUCUGCCAAUUCUUUCUUUGAAAUCUUAACCUUCACCAUUCCAUUUACGUCACAAGAAGCUCUCAACGCUUCUGAAAGGUUCUCCUUCUUCACUUUCCCCAAACUCAACCCUUGACUUUCAUCAAAUACCUUUCUCGAACUCCUCUUCAUAGUUGUAUUAUUGUUAUUCUCAGACUUCAAACAAUCCUCCCAGUUCUCUCCACCCCACUCCAUUGAUGAUGAUGAUGAUAAUGAUGAUGAUGAGGAUGAUGGCGUAUUGCAACAGUUUCCCAUGUGUAUAUCUUUAAGGAUGAAUGUAUAUGUGAGAAGCUAAUAGCUUGUAGUUGUUUAACUCUUAGAUAAGAAAUUAAUAUGUAGAAUAUAAUGAAUGUCUCUUUGUGCUUAUGUAUGUAUAGUAUUUAUUAUUUACUAACUCGUUCGGAUGAUGCUUAGCUUGUGAAGUUUAGGUACUUAUAUAAGGUAGGGUGAUGAAGAGAAAUGGAUAACGGAAAAUUUGACUUGGUGGUUACCAAAUGGAUUAUUAUUAGUUAAUAUAUAUUAUAUUCUUACCCGUGGCUGCAUGCACUUGAUGUGGUCUCUUUAAUUAACUUGCUAUAUGGCAACAGAAGAAGGGUUUUUAUUGACCAAGUAUGAUGGUGGCCAUAUAGAUAUUCAGAGUGUGAAAUUAAAGGGGAAAAAACUCCAUCCAUUGUUGUGAGUAGGGAUGUAAUUACGUGUAAGAUCACCUGUCCUAUAAUUUUUCUGUUCUGAACUAAUCAAACUUCAUAAAAUAUUAUUAAAAAUUAAUUUUUGUUUUUAUAAUUUUUAUUUUUAAAUGAAUGAUACUUUAGGAUUGACUUGAUACAUCGAUGAUAUGUGAUUUUCUAUUAGUUUUAUUGAGUUAAUAAUUACUACACGUGUAACUUAAUUAGUUUAGUGACUUUGGUACAGGAAUGAGGAAUCUAUCUCCUCCAUCAAAAUUGGACGCCAUCCAUUCUCUGAACCCGUGGCGGUUUGACAUUCUAUAUCUUCAACUCACAAAUUAUAUCACUCUUUAGUCAUUCAAAACAAUUCACGGUAUUUUAAUUAUAUUCUUCCAUUGAAUAAGGCCCUUAAUUCUAGGAGGAAAAAAAAAGUGGGUGAGUUUUAUAUAUUGUUAUCAUUCAUUAUAUUAUUAUUGACUCUUAAAAGAUAUAAUAUAAUUUAAUGGUGAAUAAUAUGUUGAUUGUAUAUAAAUAUUUACACUAAUAAUAUGUAAAUAUAAAUAAUAUAAAUAAGAUAUUUAAAUUGUUUACCAAACUCAUGUUUAUGCUAUGCAUGCACGCCCAAAAGUUUAAUACAAAAAACUUGUAAUAAUGAGAUUAAACUAAGAGAAAAAAUAUAUGCGCUUCAUCAAAAGAAUUUUUUUUAAUAUUAUUACAUUAUUCAUCAUUCAUAUUAAUUAUUAUUUACUUUUGAAGGUAAAUAAUAUAAAUAAACAAUGAAUAUUAUAAUUAUUAUGUAUAAAUAUUUACAAAUAAUAUAUAUAAUAAUAAUAGUACAGUACUUAGUCUUUCUUAUGGUUGCACUGGAUUUCUCAAAAAAGGGUUAGUUUUCUAUUCCAAAUGUAUGACCUUUAUUAUUCUUUGAUUGAAUAAUAUCAAUAAGAGGAAUUGUGAUUCUUUGUCCCUAAAAAAACAUAUGUUCUCUUAGUCAAUAAUAAUAUUACACUCAAUAAUAUAAAAUUGUCAGUUUUAACUUUUAUGAAUUUUUAUUUCAUCUAUUUGUUACUUUUUAAUUCGUUGGAACAAGAAAUAAAGACAAAGUUAAAAAUAGUGAGUUACAAAUUCCGAAGGGGAAGAAGUUGCCCCCAAAUCUUACAUGUUAUAUAAUUAAAUUUUAAACAUUUAUUAGUAUUAUUAUUUUUAUAUUAUUAUCAUUAAAUAAUAUAUUUGAGAUCAGAUAUUUCUUGGAAGAAGUAAGACUUUGAGAUUUCCACAAUCAAAAUUGAAGGUAGAAAGGACUAAAAGAGAAUAUAAAUACGUGUUAUGCUAAAUGAGGAUUAUUUUCGUGUGUUAAUUAAUUGUGUUCCCCAAUCUAUGUUAAUCAGUGUUAUCUAAUUAAUGGAAAGAAUAUUUUAAAAUAAUAAUCUUAAAACCUUGUAAUGAAGAUAUCAUUAAUCAAAAGAUAAAAACAGGUUUGCAAAUAGAACAAGGUCCAAAUUAAGACUCUCCAAAAGCAAAACAAAAAAAAUUAUUCUCAAAAGAAAUUUUAUUAUGUUCCUUGAGAAUGAUAAUUUUUAUGAAUAAUUUUAAAUAAAGUUGUUGAAGUUUGAAAUGUUAAGAUCUUUACUGCACCAUACUCUGCGGGAACUUAGAAUAGUUGGGAGUAAACAAUGAAUGAAGUUAGAGUAUAUUCUUAGCAGUAGUCAUGAAUGAUGAGCGCAAGAAGGAGAAUUUGUCUAAUCUGGACAAUAACAAUAACAUAUGAAUAUUUAAAUGAAUAGUACAUUGAAUUUUGAAUUUAAGGAGACUGAAAAUGUCUAUGCUGGACCAGAUAUAUACCCCGUUUUUCUCGUGUGUUUUUAGUUUCAGUUUGGUAUUUUUAAUCACUUAAUUCAACAGAAAACAAUUCUUGUCUUCUUGGUAAGCGUAUGUAUUACCAAUUAUAAAUGAAUAAAUAAAUUGCGGCUGAAUUCAGAAAAAGGAGUUAGUAUGAUUAACUUGGUCCUGUUAGAUAAACACCAAAUUCAAUGUAAUAAUAGCCUAAAUCUACCUCUACAUUCUUUUCUUUCUUUAUCAAAAGUACAAAACCUCCCUCAAGCGAAUGUUACUCAUCUUCCUGGCCUUCUUCGAUUUACAUUAUUAGGGUACAAAAUGAAUUUUUGAAUUAAGAAAAAGGUUAGUCGCAUGUAUGAAUUUAUUAAGAAGUUCUUAUAUUGUGAUUUAAUCAAGAAUAUAUUAUAAAAUAAUUAACUAAUCUCUUUUUACUUUCAAGUAUGUGGUUGCAUUAUCUAACAAAGUGUCACUUAUAGAAAUCGAAUCAAUAUUUUAACUCUAGUAUGAUAUCUGAAGAUUCAACGAGACUUUAUACAAUUAGAUAAACAUUUUUUUCAUUAAGAAAAACUUUCUUAUAUGUUCUACUCUAUAAGACAUUUUUAUUAAAUUUUAGGUACCAAUUAAAGUAAUAUUUUUCUUGAUUCUUAUAUUAUACAUAAUCUAAUCAUCGUUUUCUUAAUUAAUGGCCUUAUUGAAGACAACAAAAAGUAGAGAUAAUCAAAGCUUAUAUAAUAUGGAAAAAAUAGGGGCGGAUAAUAUAUGCUACAUGAAAAUCUUCUACAAUAAUCUCUUAUAAGGAUUAUAAUUCUAAGUAACAAUUCUUAUUCUGUUUCAAUAAAUAUCUUCUUCAUCAUUUUUACCCACUUCGAAUAUAUCAUUUCUGAAACUUGUAUUUGUAUUUCUUAAUCAGCUAAAGACAUAAUGAUUAGCAUAUUUUCCAUUAUUUAGAAGAUUAACUUUGAACGGAAUUUCAUUGACUUUGAAUCCACAUGUUUCACCCCAAUUUCAAUUUUCAAGAGAAAAUAUAUUGAGUUUGAGAGAACGAGAGAAUUGGAACACAAUUGGUAGGAAAUAUGAAAAUAUGAUUAUGUUAGAACAGAAAACCUUUAUUUGUUUUUCUUAAUGGUGAAAAUCAUGAGAAGGAAGAAGAAGAAGAUGAAGUAACAAUGAAUAAUCCUUGAAUAUAUUUUUCACAUCUGCUAUGAAGCAGAGAGCAUCCUUUAAUACACAAGUAUUCCCAAAAAGGAAUAACUGAAAAACAGAAAAACUGUAAAAACUGAAUGUGAAAACAGAAAAGGAAAAUGGGCCAAAAGGCCCAAAGCUGAAGCACCAAAAACAGAAAUAAAGCAAGGCAAGGAACACCACAUGAAAGAAUCACCAAAGUGGUCAAGCAAUGUUUAACAGUUUUAACCAUAUUAGGAAAUAAGGAUUUUUUUUUAUAUUUUUAAAAAAUGAGAAAGAGUAUUGGAAAUAGAAAAAUAAUUGGAUACUUUUGUAUGAAAACCUUGGGCAUGUUAUUUCAAAUUGAUCAAGUAAUUAAUUAUAUAAGUUGAAAAUGAAAGUAGUGAAUAAAAGCAAAAAGGAAAGAAGAGUGGAACUGAUUGUGAUUAAUUAUGAACAAAUAAGAUAUCUAACUGAGUAGUGCCAAUUUCCUAAUAGAAAAAUGAGAAAGGACAGAUAUCCAGUUCUGUUAGCACAUACAUGAUUUUUUGCACAAAGUUAGAGAAAGGAUGAUAGUGGUGGAGUCCAUAUAAAAAGAUGGCCUACCUAAUGUACAGAUUUUUGUUUUGAAUUUGGAAUUUAUGAUAUUAAGAGCAUGAGAUGAUGCCUCUGGAAUCUUGUGCAUAUGUAGAUCCAAAUUCAACUUAAUUAUCAAAGAGAGUGAUAGAGAUGUAUAUAUAGCCCAACUAGACAGUGGCACUAAAAGGACAUUAGUGUGAGAUACUCUGCAAUUUCUUUUACUGAAAUUUAAGUUAUGCAACUGUUUCAAUCUUAAACCUUAUUAAGAUCAACAUUGCCUGACAUGGAAAGGAACAAUAUAGCGAUGAUAAGGCUAGUUUAGUACAAAAACAAUACCUUCAUACAUCUAAUCUAAAUUUGUCACCAAGUAUAGCCAAUCCACCAAGACAAAAUAUUAUCAUUUUAACUUGUGUUUUCAAGGCUCACCAAAGCUGAAACCUUGUUCAUAAAGUUAACUUGUCCUGCCAAAUAAUUCAUUCCACUUGCAAAGUUAAAGUGUCUGUCACUUAACUAAGCAACAAAGUCCGGUUUCCUGAGAUGUGAGAUUAAAUUAUGAUUUUUGAAAUGGUCCUAGUUACCCACUUUAAUUCAAUUCAGGCAACACUAACUAACAAAUUGGCAAGUAAUGAGACAACAGCUUAGGAUGCUUUGAUGCAGUGAUGGGUCUAUGUCUAGCCAGAGUGAUCCACUCCACUACAAUAUAAGGCUCAUUCAUUCAUUGAUGAUCAUGACUCAUGAAUACAAUAAUACAUUAAAAAUGGCAGUUACCUUGGUGCAUGAGUGAGGAAAGCAACAUCCAAAAGAAUUGGCCAUUUGGGUAAAACAUGCAGAAGAAUUGUACUGGCCCCUAGGAGCGUGGGCCUAUUGAUGAUGUAAUAUGUGGAUUUUUAUAGUAAGCUAUAAUAUGGGUAAGAUAGUUUUCAAUUGUAGGUCCCAUAACAUUAUUCUGGACCGUUCAAUGUGGCUUCACUGCAAACUUACAACAUUAGUUUUGUCCUAAUCUUCAUUGCAAACUUUGUUAAACCAUGAUAGGGAGAUGUUAUUAUCAUCAUUGUGAUGGAUAGAGACAGCUACCAUGGACCCUAUUCAUGAGGAAUCUUACACGUGGUGGGUUGUAAGAGGAUGCAUAACGAAGAACAUUGCUAACAUAUCAUACUACCCACGUGGAGGAUGCUCUCUUCAUUUUAUUAUCAUGCAUUGUUGCUUCUCUUCCAUUUCACCCAUUCCACUCCAUUCAUCCAUCCAAUCAAAAUAUCAAAUUGUCGUUUCUUAAUUUAUUUAAUAUUUUUCUGAUUCAAGCAUCAGUACAGAAGGGGGAAAAUAGAAUCAACCAAUAAAUGAUUUAAUUAAGGUUGUGCUUUUCUGAUGGGCUUAAGAUCCAUGUACUCCUAAUAUUCUGAAUAUCCUUAUAGCAUGUUUACAAGUUGGUUUUGGAAGAAAAUGAGAUACUUCAAAGUUAUCUCAAAAGUAUAUUUUAGACUCUCAAACCAUUCAUCUCCCUUCAUUUUCUUACAAAAUCUAACUCGCAAACAAACUAAGUAAUUGUUUCUUGAUAUUUUGGUUGAUGGAGAACAUGAGAAAAUAAUGGUUAUGUGUUAUGAAGGGAAAGAGUGGCAAGUUAUAAAAAUCCAAUCCUUAUAAGAUAAAAUUUAAUCUCUCAUUUACUCUAUUCACUAUUUUAUUAGAUAAUAAUAAUGUUUUUUAUGCUAAUAAUGAUAUUCUCUCACCUAUUUCGGUAAGGAAUUAAUCAUUUUGGGUAUGUGGUAUCCCUCUUAAUAAAUGUUGAUCUCAAUAAUUAAAAUCUUAAUUUUUUAUGUUAUCUUAUGAGUCAAGCGGGACUUUACAUCACUAGACGAAUACCUUCUUAUUUUAUUAAUCUAAUAUGUAUAAGCUUAUACAAUAUUUACUACAGACAAUAUAUAAGGUUAUAAUUGCACUAAAAGGAGUUCAUUGCUUCCCCAUUGAAGACAAUCCAAUUACAUAUAAAAUAAAAUAGAAAAAGUUGUACCUUCAAAGACAAAUACAAAACGCUGUCAUUUCUUUAUUAGUGAAGUAUACAUAAUCAACGUCACUAAUUUUUUAUAGGCAACUAGCCUAACUAUUUAUUUAUUUACUCAUUGAUAUCAACUUCAAGGACAGUUUUAGCUGUUACAAAAACAUGAUUUAUCGUUUAAAUUUUAUUUUGGGAAUAAAUUGGUGGUGAUUAACUCUAGGCAUCAAAGGAUAUCAAAAGAUACAAACAAACGCAAUAUUUUAUUGGGUAUAUGUGUUUAGUUUUUUUCUCUCUUCCAUUUUUUGUACAAAAAUUAAAAUAAAAAAUAUUUUUCUUUAUAAUACCAAAAUAAUGCGAUGGAUGGAGUAUUUAUUUUCUAAGGAUUUUCUCUCUUUUUAUCUUUUCUCACAGUUUUGGCUUUCCUAAUUUCUUUUCUCAGCCGAAACACAUAGGAUAAGUGAUUUUCUAUUAUUGUUUUAUUAUGAAACUUCACUAUUAAUUUAGUAAAUAAUGCUAAGGAGUCACUUUAUAUUUGUAUGUGGUAAUAGUUUAUAUAUGGAAGCUAUUACAGUUUUUUUAUAUUAACGUAUCAUUAACAUUAAUUCUUACCAAAUAAAAGUAGAAGGUGAUAAUAUCUGUUAUUAAAUAAAAGUAAUAUAUAUUUGAUUGAAGAUAUGCAUGUUAAUUUUUGAGGAGACAAGAAGGUGUGAGAAAAUGAAAGUGAAACUGAAAUUGAAAUGAAAUGAAAUGAAAUGAGAGAUUAGAAAAGGGGUAUAAAUAGACAUGAAGCAAGAAGCUUACAUGUUAUGCCAAAGUGAAGGCAGGUUGUGACAUUAAGGGUUGGUUGAAUUCCUAAUAUAUGGCUAAGGGUCGCAAAUUCAUUUCCUCCCCAAGCGAACGUUUCUUCGGAACUACCUUUACCCAAUCCUCUACUUUCAGUGAUUCCUCAUCGGAGUUUCGGGAAGAGGAUAUUUGGUCCACCGCCCAAGAACGCGACGGUUGGGAGCCACGCCGUCGCAAGGUGGGAGGCUUGUCACUGACAUUCGAAGAUCAAGGGAAGUACAAGACACGUGACAUGGCCACGUCAGCACCAGUGAACGUGCCAGACUGGAGCAAGAUACUACGAGUGGAGUCGGUGGAAUCACUGCAUGGAAUGGAUGAUGGAAAUGAGGAAGAGGAAGAGGUGAUGGUUCCGCCACACGAGUACUUGGCGCGUAACAAAGCAGCAAAUUCGGUUUUCGAAGGAGUGGGUCGCACGUUGAAAGGACGCGACCUUAGCCGGGUUCGUGAUGCAGUUUGGAGCCAAACCGGCUUCGAUGGCUGAGGAACGCUUCACCUCCUCUGCUUCUUUUUUUCUGAUUGAAUUGUUUAUUAAUAAUUAAUUUCAAAAGUUUUGCAAAAAAAUAAAAUAAUACAAAUUGAGUUAGAAUUUUGUUUUUAGAGUUCAAUUUGAUGGCCAGUAAUUUAUAUAUACCUGGAAAUUUCAAGGUUAAUUUUGUUCAUGGUUAAUUGGAAGAAUCAUUGAUUUGUGGAUAAAUCUUGUUCAGUGUUCAAAGUAAACCCUCCAAAAAGAAUCAUUGUGAAGUGUAUAGAAUAUGAAGUAUGUUUAUAUUAUAACUAAAGAUUGGUUCAUCUGCAAAUAAUGAGAAUCGCAUAAAUUCUUACACAACCAUCUUUUCGUGAGGUAGAGAUGUAUUAUUUAUUUAUUAUUGAACAACUAUACAAACGGAUCAGUCAAUAUAAUCGGGGACUGGCUUUUGUUGUGGGAAGAAGAGGAAUAAUAAAAACAAGAUAAAACUAACAAGGCAUAGGAAAAAAUAAACAAAAAAUAAAAAGGAAAUGGUAAUAAUACUAGACAUACUAGUUUUAGAAUUUUAGCCUACAGUUUGUUAAGUUUUUUAACAAUUAAUUUUUUACUAUUUGUCAAGUACAAUAUUAUUUACGGAUAAACAAUAUUUUCUGUUUAAAAAAUGUAAUAUUACUUUUUAAAACAACUUCAAUUUUAUGUAUUUUUUACAUAACCAUGGUUCCUAUUUUUGUUUUAAAAAAGUUGACAUUUUGAUGAUAAGUGAUAUUUUUUAAAUAAAUGUAAUAUUACAUUUCAAAUAUCCGACCUUAAGUGUUUAUACUUUAUAUCAUAAUUCUUAUAUUUAUUUUAAAAAACAUUUGACAGCUUAAAUAAAUACAAAUUAAACUUUUUUUCUAUAAAAAGGGAAAAAGGGGUGAUAAGAGAAAAGUAAUAAAAUUACCUUCCAAAGUAUAAAUAAGGUAAUCUCGUUAGGAGUAUCCUUCCAAUGUUGGAAAGCAUCAUCUAUUAUAAUUAGCUUCAUCCUUCACCACUCAAAUACAGUAGAAGAAUUAUCUUCUCUCAAAAUAUGCUCCAUCUUGGAGAUGCCAGGAACAAUAGAGUAGAGUAAUCUAGCUAGCUUCCAUCCCAUAAACAUUAAAAUCCAAAAUAUUUCAUUUCAUUAUAAUUUUUUGUGAACAUAAACAUAGGGACACAAAAUGCUUUUAAUGAAAAAGUGAUGGAUGUGCCAUAUGGUCCAAUAAUAGUGGCCAACAUUAGGAGACUGAAUAACCCUCUAAUGUUUGCAACUUUCUUUUCCAUGAAAAUGACGCAACUCAUAUAUGUUGGGCUUAUAACUCUUGUGCCAUUACGACCAUUGGUUUUGCAAUGUUUGGUGCCAAAGUUUUAUAGAGAUUUUGGUAGAUUUAGUUUGUGCCACACUAUAAAAUCUACAUCCCAAUCAUCAAUCCUUCCAUUCAGAUAAGCACUUAAUGCUUUGACCAAUUGAACAAAAGAUGAAAGCCUCUUUUCUUUCUAUAAUAAGGUGGGACAUGCUUACCACAAACCAUAUAUUAUACAUCCAAAUCUUAUUUUAUUUCCUUUUUCCUAAAUGCUUCUGAAAGAGUAUCAAAAGGUUAGUCAGUGCUUUAGUAAGAGGAGUCAUCUUGCAAACUCAAAGUUUGAUGCCCACUAUGAUUUAAUUUACUUACUAUAUCUACUCUUAAGUGUACUACAAUACUUCUUCAACUUGUACUUCAACCCAAUUUCUAUGAUAUGAAUAGUUCGGUAUUGCCAUAUUAUUAAUAAUAUAAAAUAAUGUAUGUAUGAAUAAUAUAACAAAUUUUAAAUCGUUAACACAUUAUACAUCAUUUACAUAUAAAAAACAUUACACCAAAUUGCAUAGAUAAUAAUUUUGUUAAUAAUGAUAACAUUACCUUUUAAAGCAUUUUUUGUUGUUGAAAAAAUACACAUAACCAAUGUUACAAAUAACGUUUGGGAUUUGAUAAAUGAGGAUCAACUGUCCCAUUUUAUGUUAUAAUUCAAUACAAGAUUUACUUGAAAAUAAAAAUAAAAAAUAACAUUUUUAUAUAAUUUGGUAGGAUAUGAUUGACUUGAACAUGAAAACAUGAACUUUUAGGGACAAAGGAUCCUGGUUCUAUAUUUGAUGGUAUAAAUCCAUUUAGAGGCCUACUUUAGUUGAGGCCUAACGUAAUAAGAUGGCCUGGUCCAUAGUCACAAGAAUUGGGAAGAGUUACUGGCCUACCAGGGAGGCAUAUUGAACCACCUUCCAAUUAAAUUUGGUCUCAUUCUUUCAAAAUCUAACUAGGAUGGAUUUUCAAACAUUAACUAUUGAUACUCAAAUUGCACAGUAACAAUUUGGGUCGAAAUAUUCAUAUUUCAUUUACACUUCCUAAGAAUACUCAAAAGGAGAAAUACCUGAUGCUAAUGAAGUUAGUUUAAUAUUAAUAAGAUGGUAUCCAAGGUUUUAGCCUCAUAUUCCAGGGACAAUUUUUUAUUAAUGGACAACCAUUUAAGUCACUAAUCCACGUGAGGUUGUUUUAUACUAGUACUACACUACUACUACUGUCUAUUAUGGUCACAGAAAGUAUAUAUUAUAUGCACGUGUGCACACCCUUUCUCAAUAUGUAUGUAUAUAUGGGAAAAAGUAUCACAUAGACUCUACACUCAAGACAGAAAGCUUAUUCUAUAUGUCCUUCCUUUCUUCAAAUCAUUAUAUUCCGUCUGUAAUACUCAAAUCAAACCAAAAAACUCAUACUGCCUGUAAAAUAUAAGCAAAUUUUAAUUAACUUUGCUAUAUUAAAUAUUGUCAUAGUUCAAAUACAAUUUAUUUACUUUAAAAUUCAUUUCCAUACUUUUGAAGUGGAAAAUUCGAAUGAGAUUUACAACAUUAAAUAAUGUCAACAAACAUUGUUAUAAUCAUUUAUUGCUUAUAUUUGAUUGUAGAGGAAGCAUUUCCUUAAAAGUUACUGAGCAUCCAUUUUUAUGUACUCCCUUUAAUCAUUUUUAUAAGAUCAUUUUGGGUAGUUUUGAUGUAAGCAUCAUGAAAUAAAUAAUAGUAUAUGUAAAGCAUUCAUCGGAUACUCAUAUACAAUGCUGUUAGACAAUGUAGCAGCUUCACUCUUUCAUCAUAACAAGACAAUUUCAAGCAUUUGUUAAAUAGAAUAUGGCGGUGAGUUAAUUAAUGUUUUGCCCAAAAAAAAUUGAAGGCAAGAGUAAUGGUUAUUAUUUAAAAUUACAAGUACCUAAGGUGUUCAAUCUCAUGAAUGCUGCUUACAUCUCUCUUAAAACUCCUACUAUAUAUAUAUAUAUCAUUACUUGUGGUGGCCUUGGACUUUGAAACAAGAAAUGCAAAACAAAUAAAAACUGCAUCAAAAUUGUUUAUCAUUUUUUAGUGUUUGUAAAACAUGAUAGAGGUUAAAAAGCAACCUCUUCUCCACGUUCUGAAGUUGAUGUGGCUCGGAGUACAAUGAAAAGAAGAGAGGAGUGCACGUGGUAUGCAUGUUUUUACAUAAUAAUAACUCAUUAUUAUAUUUAAUCUAAAUUCCAAACAUUAAGCUACUCCUUGCUUUGCAUUAUAUCAUUUUACGUGGUUUUGAGUCUCAAAUAUGAUUCAUAUUUUAAGAUAAAAUCAUUUACCUAUUUCCCAAUGGUAAAACUUCAAUCUUGUGCUACAUUGGUUAAUGCCUCAUCAUUGUGUAGUGCUAUAGAACAAGAAAUGAAUGUUGUUGCUGAGAUUUCAGCAGAGUUAGAAAGGGAAAGGCAGAAGAAUGCAAAGCUCCUAGAGAAAAUAUCAAUGCUGGAAGCACAGAUAAGGGAAAGAGACAUGGAAACUCAAGUACUGUAACUUGUUUUCUUCAUUGCACCUAUGCUUAUGCUCACUUCAUGAACCUGUAAAACAUUUACAUUUAUAUAAUGCAGUAUAUCCUCACCAUAUUGCAUGGUGAUAUCUAACUAUAUAUACAUCCCUUUAUACUCAUACUUCUUAAUUCCCUUGUUUAUUUAUAAAAAAUACUAGUCAUUUGGUAGAUAUAGAUUCAGCAAUAUUACUAGUUAUUAUUCAAUACAUGGUCUUAAUCUGGAGGGAUGGCAACAAUUGUUUACCUAUUCAAUAUUUGGUUUAAUAUUAUUGACCAAGAUUCAAUGACACUAAACAAAUACAUGCAUGGUUGAGUCCAGCACUUGAAACUCAAGUUUGACUUGUGAAAAAAAGAUUGUUGUUCAACAUUGAUUUAUUUGUAAAAGAAGCUAUAUUUAAAAUUUAAUUUGAGUUUGACUUAUUUAAAAAUACUAAACCUGUUUCAUUACCAAAUAGGUUUGCACAUUAACACAAUCACAUAUCUAAUCGUGAUCAUGCCCAUUUUAUUAUUAGAAGUGAAUUUUUUUCUCUUGAUACCAGGAAAAUCAUCUGCAUUUAGUUGCAAGUUCAAAGAAAUUCAAAAGGCAGAAGACAGAAAUGGUAGCUGAUGAAGAACAGAAUAUGAAUGCAGACAACAGUGAAAUGGCCUUCAAAUACAAAUCUGAUAGUGAAGGCAUUGUUCCUAAAGAGAUUAGUCCAGAGAAGCCCUUAAUAAUUAGUUGGCUGAGCAUGGAUGAUAGCCAAAACAAUUAUCCUGAAAAAGUCAAAGACUCUGAUUCUAUUGCAGAUUUCAAUGAAACAGAUAGUGAUGCUAAUGCAUGUGAAGAUAAUUAUGAUGAUGAUCUGGAAAAUGCUCAAACACAUGAAGUAAUUGAUGACAUAACUGAAACUGUGAAUGCACAUAAAGGCCACCCCCAUAUUGAUGAGGAAUCAAAUUUAACAUGCAUGCAAAGUUUUUCUGAUCCUGCAGGUAAUGUGAGACAAGAAGAUCAUGAAAAUCAAAAGGCAAGUUGCACAUUACAUGCUCAACUAUCUAAGAAGAGUGAAAUUAUCAAAACAUAUGAAGUGAAAUCACUUGGUGCCCCUUCAAGAUCAUUACAUGUAUCACAGAACAGAAAGCCUUCUAAGGUGGCCUUUUGCCCAAAAGAGAUUAAAAGGAUAAUUGAGUCAGAAGCUCUUCUACAAAAAAAUGCUCAGUCCCACACUAUAAGGAAAAUCAUAGUUUUUGGAUCACUUGGCAUAAGACAUGGAUGUGAAGAAAUGUAUGAGCUGGACUUUAACCAUUUUAGCAUUAUGAAUAAAGGAGAACCAUAUGUGUCUCCAAGGAACCUUGGGGUAUGAGAAAUCUACUUGUAUUUAGUUUGCAAUUCUGCUUUGCUGAUUUUAUCACCAAAUAUAUGAACCUAAUAGUUUGGAUAAAAUAUUUCUUAUAGAAGUUUUUUCAUUAAAAAAAAUCAUAUGCAGGAGCAUGUUUUGUAUGAUAAUCCUGGUGUUAAGAGGAAAUUGUUUUAUCCACAACAGCAAAAUCCUGUAUUGUGUCCAGUGAAUAUACUUGAAGAAGAAAGAACCAUGCGUCCAUCUGAUGCAAGUUGUCCAUCAUGGUUAUUCUUGUGCAUUAAAUAUGGUGGAAGGACAAGAAAUCUUCCUCAAAAUGAGUAAGUUUUGGAAUUUGGACACAUAAUGAGUAGAAAUAGUGACUUGUGAGUAUUUUUGUACUUCAAAAUAUUUUACAUGGAGAAUUUUCUGAUUGAAUAUUGUAGAUAUGUGAGGCAGCGGAUGGGAAGAAAUAAACUGAAGUCUUUUGGGCCACUUAUGUGCCGAAUGGCAACGCUGGUUCAUAUUCGUAGUGGAAGCUUUUUCUUCAAGGCAAUGGGUAUAACACUUCUGUUUAUGGCAGGAUUUCCCGGUGAUCUAGUUAAGAGAGAAACCAAAUACCGGAACUUAGACUUGCUUCAGAAAUAUUACAGGUUCAUCAAAUAGCAUGUUAUAAAUUUUGAACACAGUUUUAUAUACCCUCCUUAUUUUUAGUCCAAGAGGCCUUACAAAUACGCCGACUUCGUGUUUGCAUCCACAUAGCAUGAGACUGAGAGUAUUCUAAAAGUUAGCUUUUCUUCAUCUAAUACACAAGUUUUCUGUCACAGGACUGAUGAAGAUGCUGAGGGGGAGGAGUUGUUUCUUCCACAGAUAAUUGCUUGUGACAAUGUAAGAUUGCAUAUCCCAUAUUAUGCAUGAUGCUACAAUUCUGUUUCAGCCUAUCACCUAUCAUUUUUUCUUCUUUUGAAAUAUAAUUCAACAAUUUCCUAACCUUGUAUUGCUAUAUUUUUUUUGGUACAUACCUUUUAUUGCUAUUUGUGUAUUCUAAAAAAUAAUUUGAGUAAUUGUAAUCAAAAUCAGAUAAGUAGUUGCAAAUCAUUAUUCUGUACAUCAAGCAUAUGCAACUUUGUCAAACUUAGUGAAUUUAGCACUUUUCAAAUAGUUCCUUUUUUGUAGCAGGGUACUGAAGAAGCCCAGAAUUUAACUAAAAAGACAGUAUCAACAAAACCCAAGGGGAGAAAACACAGUAAUGAAAUCAGCAAUUCUCAUAAUUCAAAAAAUAGCCCAUCUCAACAAUCAAAACCAACUAGUUCAGCAGCUACACAAUUUGGUUUAACUGGCUAUUCCACUGGCCACUCAUAUGCAAAUGCAAUGGCAGCUUUUCAUUCAAUGGCAUCACAGAUAUCACCAAAUACUUAUCAUGGUUUACAUAGUAUGCUGCCACCACAGCCAACAAGUAGUUUUGUACCUAUAUUGUAUUGGCCUCCAUCAAAUGCAUUUGUUCCUGGACCCUAUCCUUCAACAAAUGGAUACCAGUGUUUUCCUAAUACUCCAAAUUACAUGUCAUUCCAAACACAGCCUUAUUACAAUUAUCCUACAUGCAUUUCCUCUGUAUCAAAGUUGGUAGAAGGAAGUGGAAAGAAUGAUUUAGCCACAGAUGAAAGUGAUAGCAGUUAAGAAGGUACCAAGCAAAUAAUGGAUUUACUGCUACAAUGACAUGUUACAAAUGGUGUACUUUUUAUUAUAUAUAAAUCGUUCUUAGAUGGUGGAACUGUUGAAGUGGCUUGAUGCGCAAGUUUAGUGUGUGGCUUGCAACUCAAGUUUAAGUCUUAAUAUGAAUAAUAGCUGUCAUUUUUCCCAGCUAUUAUUCAUUAUUUUCUUCUUAGCAUUAUAUCUACGUUGCACGUUAUCACCAACGGUCACUUUCCAGUUUCGAUUGAAGGAGUUAAAUAUCUGGGUCUAGACAAAGUUCCUUACUUUGUUUUUUUCAAUGGUCCACGUACCCUACUCUACAUGGCUAGACAUAUUUUUCUAAGGGAUAAGAUCAAGGUUCUUAAAUAAUGAUGCUGCAUGAUAUUGUUUGUUUGUUUGAGCUGUUGUCAAAUAUCAAAUCAAAUUAAAUGGGUUUUAUGUAUAAAAAAUGUUAUGCUCUCAUCAGCUAUUUUAAACUUGUUCAUCUUUAUAAACAUUUAAAUAACAAACUUCUGAAGAAUCUUAUCCUGCUUUUCCCUUUUUUAUCUUUUAGUACCUAUUCAGGAGUAUUUAAUUUGAAGUGUGUAUCGAAAGAUACAAACAUUAUAGACAACCCUCACAUGCAUACAUUAACAUCUUUCCUUCAACUUGCCUUCUUAACCAACACUGAGAUAUAUCAUAAUUCAUAACACACGGAUUUACACUUAACACAAUACUGCUAUCCUUAUUUAAUAAAGAAGAGGAAAAAAAGUUGCAUCAGAAGAUUCAGAUAAAAGCAUCUAAGUGGAAAAUAUUAUUGAAAAUGAACACAGUUGCAUCAGGUAAAAACAAAUAAGCACAGCAACAAGGAAGGAGAGAAGAGUAACUAAUAAACUCCUAAGCACCAUAGGGAGGCCUAACAAUAGCACACUAAGCUUAAAAUUGGGUUAGAAACCCAUUCAAACCAAUACAUAGUUGCCCCUAAACGAAAACACAUUAUUUGUGCAUAACAUCUUAAUUAUUAUUUUCUUCCUCAUAUACAAGGGGAAGAAAAUUCAAAAGCUAAACUUAAUUGAAGAAACUAAGACUCCUCAUGAUGAUGCAUCUUGUUGGCAACAUUGCACUGCUUUCUGAUCUCACCUUGUGUGCCAGUGAGAGGGUUGUUUUCAGAGAGCAAGGUGAUAGCUCUUGAAAACUCCUUGAAGAAAUAGUCUUGGCUCUUAGCCAUUUUCUUGACAUAAGGCUUGGUCCUCUUAUCAGUGGCUAAUUGGUGAUCCACGACCAAAAGUCCCUUGUUGUCCAAGAUGUUCCUGUAAUAGUUGUUGUCUAAAACCAUGGGUGUGCCACGGUCAUUUCUCACGUACUGCACGGCCUUCGGGUCUGGAAUGGAGUCAGGGCACUUCUUAAGCAUGUGAGGAACAUGGUCUGGGUUGAUAACUGGGUCAACCUCUGGGUAUAAACGGUGCACCAACUUCACACAGUGUGUUCUACCAACACUGUGUGCUCCUGUUCAACACAACAAGAUCAAUAAUUAUGUAAGUUAAAAACUAUAAUUAAGACAUGUAUCAUGUAUGUAUAUGUUAUAAUGUUACACAUGUUAGUAUGUAUAAUGAAUCAUGUCAUGUUGACCCCACAUGUAUUUAUUGAAAGAGAAUAUGAUGGAUAAACUUUGGCAUUUUAAUCAAGGCCAUUCACGUGGGUAUGGGACGUUUUUGAAUUCAUGGCCAUCAUGAUAUUUUUUCAACGUCGACAAUACGGCACAAACAAACAACAUAAUUCAUGUCAACGGUGUUGCAGUGGGAAAGGAUCUCAUCACUGAAUCCAAUGACCAAUUUUAAUUUUUUAUAAUUAAUAUGACAUGUUUUUAUCAGUGCGGGAAUAGUAAUGAGCAGUUACCGAGCAAAGCAACAACGCCCGGGGUGUCAAUACCCAUGGCACCAAACUUGUGAAGAACAGAGGAAAUGGACUCAUUGUGGUCAGGGAGGUACUGUUCCACUACUUCAGCUCUGCUCCUUCUACCAUCCCUUCUUCCUGUUUUUAGAGCUAUAUGUGGACCUCCUAGCUGCAAGAAACAAACAUACCAAGUUAACAACACUCUUCAUUAACUAUAAUCUUAAGAUGGAUAAGGGAAUUACCGAAACAAUGCCAUCUCUGGCAGAAAGAACAAGGAUAUCAGCACAGGAAACAACUCCAGGGCACUCCCUUUCCACGGCUUCUUUAAUGGUCUCAAUGUACCUAAAGUUCCUCAGCCCAAAGCUCCUAUCAGUUUCCUUCUCAGACAAGCUCCUUCUUGUUGAAUCCAGCAACAGUGAAGCAUCACAUCUCUAACCUCAUCAAAAACAUUCUAGUAAUUAGUUAAAGGGACAGUAUAGCAAAUACUAAAAACUAAUGGAAGUCAAGGUUGGUGUUACCUGAACAGCACAAUCAUGGAAAAUGUUCCUGAGCCAGGAGAAAGCAGUGUUCUUGUGACGCUUGUAAAGAAGCUUCACUUGUUCUGUGAUAACUUCUUCAGCCUGAGGACAUGUUUCCUUGUAAUAGUUCAUAACAAGACCAGGAUUUUGCUCUUCUUCUGCAAAAACAGGACUCAGCAGGGACACUGCUGAAAAGGAUAAUAGAACCAAAAACAUGAAAACUCUUGGACCCAUUUCUCUCUCCUCUCACUACUAACUAUGCUCACUCACCUACUUUACUCCCCUCUCUGCUACUUCUUAAAUAACCAAAUACCGCAGUAUCAAGAUAAAUGUGCUACCAGUCAAAUAUUCAAAAUGCAACUUGGUGUAUAGCGGUAACCAACCCAUUGCAGAAUGUUUAUUUUAGUUAUUAAAACAACGAAAAUUAUGGAAAUUAUCAAAUGAUAAUCAAAAUAUCACAUGUUCAAUUCAUUGUAAGCGAGGAUAACAACAGAAUUCGAAAAAGAUUAGUUAUUUAUCCUAAUAAAAAAUAUGGAAUUAUGGCUUUUAGAAUUUAAAUAGUUGCUGUUAGUGAAGGAAAAUAUAUAGUUACUGAAAUUGUGCAUAAGAAACAAUAACCCAGAAGGUUAUUUAUCAAAAAAUACAGUAACUUAACAAGAACUCAAAAAGUUACACCAAAAAACAUGAUAAAAUAGUUUUUUUGGGUACACUUCUAAUACUUCUUUUGUUCAUACGUAACUAACUUUACAUAGAAAUAAAAUUGGCCAUUUUGGGACCUUUUGUAAAUUUAGAGCUUCCGAGUUUCAGUUAAUGAAAUAUAAGUUUUGGAAUUUUCGAUUUUUAUCAAACGCUCACAGUGAUAGACAACGAAAUUUUACCGAUUAGUUACUUACUGGCCAUUAUAUAAGAAGUUUUGUUAUCCUAAUUUUGGGUUGAAAAAGAUGGGAAGUGGUGGGGUAGAAGCACUUACGGGAAAUGCUGAAAUUUAAUUUAGUUAUGCUCAUUUAUUAUUGAGUGUAACAUCUGGAAAAAAAUGUGAAUACUCAUUUAUUAUUGAGUGUAACAUCUAUACACGUGUCAAAGAUAGUGCAAACUUUUUGACUAAAAAAUGUAUACUAACCAUGUAAAAGUACAUCAUGCACAAUUCAUUUUUAUUGAUGAUUGACUUUUAAAUAUGAAUAUAUUUUUUUUACCUCUCUAUAUUGUUUGGAUGGAUGCCCCACCACUAUAUGUUUGCUUACGUGUUCUGAUAAGAAAGGCCUUCGGGUCUGGAAUGGAGUCGGGCACUUCUUAAGCAUGUGAGGAACAUGGUCUGGGUUGAUAACUGGGUCAACCUCUGGGUAUAAACGGUGCACCAACUUCACACAGUGUGUUCUACCAACACUGUGUGCUCCUGUUCAACACAACAAGAUCAAUAAUUAUGUAAGUUAAAAACUAUAAUUAAGACAUGUAUCAUGUAUGUAUAUGUUAUAAUGUUACACAUGUUAGUAUGUAUAAUGAAUCAUGUCAUGUUGACCCCACAUGUAUUUAUUGAAAGAGAAUAUGAUGGAUAAACUUUGGCAUUUUAAUCAAGGCCAUUCACGUGGGUAUGGGACGUUUUUGAAUUCAUGGCCAUCAUGAUAUUUUUUCAACGUCGACAAUACGGCACAAACAAACAACAUAAUUCAUGUCAACGGUGUUGCAGUGGGAAAGGAUCUCAUCACUGAAUCCAAUGACCAAUUUUAAUUUUUUAUAAUUAAUAUGACAUGUUUUUAUCAGUGCGGGAAUAGUAAUGAGCAGUUACCGAGCAAAGCAACAACGCCCGGGGUGUCAAUACCCAUGGCACCAAACUUGUGAAGAACAGAGGAAAUGGACUCAUUGUGGUCAGGGAGGUACUGUUCCACUACUUCAGCUCUGCUCCUUCUACCAUCCCUUCUUCCUGUUUUUAGAGCUAUAUGUGGACCUCCUAGCUGCAAGAAACAAACAUACCAAGUUAACAACACUCUUCAUUAACUAUAAUCUUAAGAUGGAUAAGGGAAUUACCGAA
rnacentral:lncRNA from 1 species